AUGGAGGAUUCGGUGGGCGAGGCGGAGAGGAGGGAGCAGGAGGCGCAGGGGAAGAAGCGCGGACGAGAGGAAGAGCAGGAGGCCGGCGCUGGUCGUGCGGUGGAGGGGAAGGCAGAGGUGGCGGUGGCUGAGGAGGGCGGGUUUCUCAGCAGCAUGGCGUCCAAGAUCGGCGUGGCCAUGUCGGGUGCUACUAACGGCGGCGGCGGCGGCGGCGCUGAGGACACCGGCGAAGGCAAUGGCAACGGCAACGGGAACGCGCUUGCUGUCUCUGACGGCGACGCGGAGAAGGCGGCCGGCAAUGGCAUCUUCCACAAGCUGCUGUCCAGCUCGUCUCCUUCCCCGCCGGCCGCUGUCUUCCGUGGAGCAGAGGAAGAGAGAAGGGAAGGGAAAGACGAGGACGAAGGCGGCGAGCAGGCCGGGAUACUGAGCGCCAUGGCUUCCAAGAUCGGCAUGGCCAUGUCUGGCAAUGGAACCCACGGCGGCAGCGGGGAAGAUGUUGAUCACAGUAACGGUGAGGGCGAGGGCAAGGAGAAGGAGAUGGGAGGCGACGAGCCGAGCUCCAACGGCGGUGGGCUCGUUAAGCAGAUCAUGUCCAACCUCCCCACUUCAGACACUCGGGGGCCCGAUGCUGAGGAGGCCUCCCUGCUCAUCUCCAUCAUCGACGACUAG
rnacentral:rRNA from 1 species